UACGUAGGGGGGCUAGCGUUGUCCGGAAUCAUUGGGCGUAAAGCGCGUGUAGGCGGCCCGGUAAGUCCGCUGUGAAAGUCGGGGGCUCAACCCUCGGAUGCCGGUGGAUACUGUCGGGCUCGAGUGCGGAAGAGGCGAGUGGAAUUCCUGGUGUAGCGGUGAAAUGCGCAGAUAUCAGGAGGAACACCAAUUGCGAAGGCAGCUCGCUGGGACGUUACUGACGCUGAGACGCGAAAGCGUGGGGAGCAAACAGG
rnacentral:rRNA from 1 species